AGCGCAGGCGGUUUUCUUAAGUCUGAUGUGAAAGCCUUCGGCUUAACCGGAGAAGAGCAUCGGAAACUGGGAGACUUGAGUGCAGAAAAGGGCAGUGGAACUCCAUGUGUAGCGGUGAAAUGCGUAGAUAUAUGGAAGAACACCAGUGGCGAAGGCGGCUGUCUGGUCUGUAACUGACGCUGAGGCCCGAAAGCAUGGGUAGCAACA
rnacentral:rRNA from 1 species